rnacentral:rRNA from 1 species
UACAGAGGGUGCAAACGUUGUUCGGAAUUACUGGGCGUAAAGCGCGUGUAGGCGGCACGGCAAGUCGGAUGUGAAAGCCCGCGGCUCAACCGUGGAAGUGCACUCGAAACUGCCGAGCUAGAGUCUCGGAGAGGAAGGUGGAAUGCUUGGUGUAGAGGUGAAAUUCGUAGAUAUCAAGCAGAACACCUGUGGCGAAGGCGGCCUUCUGGACGAUGACUGACGCUGAGACGCGAAAGCGUGGGGAGCAAACAGG